CAGUCUGACUGGCAUUUGGGUAACGAAACAGAAUUGUAACUUACUAAAAUAAAGUUUUAAGUACGUAUUAAAAAGAAAGGACCGUAUAAAAGUCUUGACCAAUUACGUGCCAGCAGAUCGGUAAUACUUAGGAGACGAGCA
rnacentral:rRNA from 1 species